CAGAACAUAGCUAAACAAUAGCAUUUCCCUUACACCGAAAAGUUGCUCACUCAAAUCGAGCUGUUCUGA
rnacentral:tRNA from 1 species